CCAACAUGAUGAGUUACUACUUCAGGUCCGUGUUUCUGAACCCUGAUAACAAAAGAAGUUCUGAGCGA